ACAAAGCUGCUGUGGAAAGAACUAAGGACAAAGAAAUUUCCCUUUGGCAGAGUAAGAGUCCAUGGAGCCCCAGAAGCUGCUGAGCAUUGUAUUUCUGUUGUGUUCACUGACUUGCUCCUUGUUGGCGACAGCAGCUUCCCCUCCUUCGCCAUUAUAUGAUUUUGGAAUUCAAGAAAACGCAGGACUGAAACCACGCUCAAGGGGAGACCAGAGGUCUUGGCUGAGCGACUUCUGGGAUUACCUGUGGGACCUCAUCAUGAGCUCCAUACCUCCAGCAGCCAUUUUUGCUUUUCUUAUCACCGUAGCACUAAUGGGGACCCUCUGUUGCCUAACUAUUCUUAUAGGUGAACCAGUCCACUGAAGAACUAGAAGACUGAUUAGGGCAAUUGUGGUGUUUGGUUUUCCAGAUUUCAAGACAAUGGAAAAUGUGUUGUUUGCUUAAAAUGAUGUUAAAAUUAAAUUAUUAAAUUAUAUUCUGUCUUAAAU
rnacentral:lncRNA from 1 species